GACGAACGCUGGCGGCGUGCUUAACACAUGCAAGUCGAACGGAAAGGCCUGCUUUCCCUUGUGGAUUGCGGGUACUCGAGUGGCGAACGGGUGAGUAACACGUGAGUGAUCUGCCCCCAACUUGGGUAUAAGCCUGGGAAACUGGGUCUAAUUCCCGAUAGGACUGCAGGGUGGUGCCUGUGGUGGAAAACGAUUUUCUAGUGGUUGGGGAUGAGCUCGCGGCCUAUCAGCUUGUUGGUGGGGUAAUGGCCUACCAAGGCGGCGACGGGUAGCCGGCCUGAGAGGGUGGACGGCCAAAUUGGGACUGAGAUACGGCCCAGACUCCAACGGGAGGCAGCAGUGGGGAAUAUAGGACAAUGGGCGGAAGCCUGAUGCAGCGACGCCGCGUGGGGGAUGACGGCCUUCGGGUUGUAAACUCCUUUCGACCGCGAGGAAGCCACCUGGUUGGAAGGGUGGUGACGGUAGUGGUAGAAGAAGCACCGGCUAACUACGUG
rnacentral:rRNA from 1 species